rnacentral:lncRNA from 1 species
UGUACACGUGCAUUAAUUUCACGUCGUUUAAGGUACUGCUCGUUAUAAUCAGUAAGCAUUAAUCAUUACAACCAGAUGUAAAAAACGUACGUUAUGUGAAAACAAGAAGAGUCAACUCUGAAAAAAGCCUUGCAAGAAAUACCAGUUCUUACAAAUUCUUUAGGCCCAGGACCCAGAUGCCCAACAUUUUUUUACGACAGAAAGUGGCAUAUAUUACUCUCUGUGACCAGUAUGACCAAAGUGGGCAAAUUUCAUGCUCUCUGGGUACACUGUUUAUGGGUUGUUUACUAAAUUAAAACGGUUAAAAUAUAAUAUUUUGUAUAAGAGCAGGAAGAGUGUGUUACUUCAGAGUGGUUAUGGCGUUUCAAGGACAACAAUGCAUGGAGAUGGCACGGCAUUAUAAGAUAUGUAAAUCCUUUCCGGGGGAACAGAAAAUAUAUAUGUAUAAUAUGAGUCCAGAGAAUAAGAUUAAUGGAUUAUAAUAUCCAUACAGUCAGUUUUCAUUGGACUGAAUUAAUAAGCUUUAAAUUGUCUUCAUUUAAUGCUCUUUUCUAGCCCUCUUGCACUUGUUUCGCUUGUUUCCUUCCGUGUUUCAUGUUUCUGUCGACAAUAUAUAUAUCAACUCUGUUUUUUGAUCGACAGACAGUUUCGCAGCCAGAAUUUUUCAGUUGAGUACUCAGAUCAGCAGAAAAUAUAUAUAUAUAUACAACGUGUCGACAGAAGCAUUAAUCAUUACAACCAGAUGUAAAAAACUUACGUUAUGUGAAAACAAGAAGAGCUAACUCUGAAAAAAGCCGUACAAGAAACACCAGUUCUUACAAAUUCUUUAGGCCCAAUACCCAGAUCCCCUACAUUUUCUUGCGACACCUGUUUACAACCAGAUGUAAAGAAAUUUACAACUGCAAAAUUCUGGCUGCGAAAUUGUCUGUCGAACAAAAAGCAGGGUUGAUUUCUUAUCGUUUGUAUGUCGCACGAACAUUUUUCACAUACUCAAAAAUUUAUGAUAAUCAAAAAUUGAAUAGUUCUUAUAUAAGCUAAGCAUAGGGACUCAUUGGUGGCAAACAUUUUCUCGGUCUCUAAUAAAAUCAAAGAGCAGCUGAUCUAAGAACAAAAUGUUUCUGGUUCAUAUCUGAGAAAGGUAAAAUCAUGCACAUAAAAUGUAAGACAUCAUUUAAAUCAAUACUGGCAUUAGAAAUACAUAUUUUGGACACCCUUCUGCCACACAGACUCUGCUCGACCUAUGGGAGGAAAUAUCAGAUGGUUUUCGUAUAGUUCGGAAAUCUCGCAAAUUUAUAGGGAAAUUUGAUCUUCUUAUGCUGAGGAAUACCAUAUUUAAAUGUAAAAUGUAGUCUUAGAAAAUAAGAAGGCAUCCCUUACAAGGGAUUACAAGGGAAACGAUUGAAGGUCGUUGCAGUUCGAGAAAAAGUUUAACUAUGCUGCAGACAAUGCUUCCGCUUCAAUGCAUUUUAAAACAUCCUCUUAAUUUUGCUCCACCGAAGAUAAAAGAAGUCUUUCUUUAGAAGUCUAUAGUCUUUCUGUAAGUUUCCUAGAGAAAUUUUUAUAAUAAAUAUGAUUGACAAAUUUGUUGUUGCUUUCAUCCGCUGUUCAUCAGCUGGUCUGCCAAUGUUAACGCCCAUUUUUUUAAGACAAACAUGCAAAACAUUUUGCAAGCGGCUAAGUGUGACCAGAUUUAUAAACUGAAUGCCGCCUUGUAUGGCACUUGUAAUUGUUUAAUUUGAGAUAUAUAUGUCAAUGAAAACUUAAUAAACCAGUGUAUAAAAAAUGUAUCUCUGUAUAAGCGGAAUAGUGGGAAAAACAUUAAAGUUGACAUCUGUAUUUUUUGUGUGUUUAUUUAAGUACUGCACGCCGUGCAGCCUAUAACAAAAAGUUUGUGCUUGAUACAAUUUUGUAUAUGUUUCAAACGAAUAUCAUCCCUGAUUUUGCUAAAUGGUCACAUUUUUCGGAUCUGAGUACUAGAUUCUUAUCAAAACAUAAAAGUUGUCUGUGCAGUGUACAGCAUACGUAUUUUUUCACUUGGGCGUUAUAACUAUAUAUGAACUAUAUUUGGCACAUUUUGCAAAAAAACGUCUUUUCAGAUGUGAGUACUAGGCAUAUAUGUUGAAACUAGUGGAAUACGGUCAUCACUGCAAUACCCUAAGUACAGUGGGGUAUUCAAAGACCAACUCCACAUCACGACUACCCGUGACCUGUUACACGGCUAUCGAUUCAUUCCCCAGUCAGUCGAUAGUACCACAUUAAACAAUACUAUUUGCGCGUACAAAAAAAAUUCGUGAGUCAGAAUUUAUACAUUGUGUUACUUUAAAAAGGCAUAUAAAUUAAUACCAUUUUUUGUCCGAAACGAUGGCAUAUCACCAGGGUGGAAUGCCAGAUCAGCAAUUCCUUUGGGAUGUUUUUCAAAGGCAAGUUACGGAAACUAACGAUAUAAGGGAAAAUUAAAUUGUUUUUAUUUCAGAGUGGACAAAGAUAGAAGCGGUCACAUUUCAGCAGAUGAGCUACAAGUUGCCCUUUCUAAUGGUACAUGGUCUGCAUUUAACCCUGAAACGGUGCGUUUAAUGAUUGGAAUGUUUGAUCGCGAAAACAGAGGAACAGUAUCUUUUCAAGAUUUUGGAGCCCUGUGGAAAUAUGUGACAGAUUGGCAAAAUUGCUUUCGUUCAUUUGACCGGGACAAUUCGGGAAAUAUUGACAAAAAUGAACUUAAGACAGCACUAACUUCAUUUGGGUACCGUUUAUCUGAUCACCUCGUAGACGUUUUACUCCGAAAAUUUGAUCGUUUUGGACGAGGCACUAUACUUUUUGAUGAUUUCAUACAGUGUUGCAUUGUUCUUUACGUGAGUAUAAACAACAAUUUUAACAAGUCCAUUUUCACAGAGGGUUUUUAAAGGAACUCGACUUAACGUUUAUAUGUACAUACAGCUGCGGAGUUUAAAAUAGCACCAUGAAAAUAAUAUUGAAAUAUUUUGUUAAAAAAAUUUUGAAUGAAAGUGGAAUGAAGUUCUAAUGGAGGUGUUUAAAACUAUUAUAUCAAAUUUGAGGCUUAAUUCAACUUAUCCGAGAAAGAUGGUAUGCUUAGAUUGCUUUUGUUGGAAAUAUUUGGAAGGAAAAUUAAUUAUUCCGGUGUUUGGAAUAGCACCAAUUUCAUAAAAGCUCAACCAACUUCAAAUUUAAAAGAAAUUUCAACAAUUUUUCAUUACCAUAUUUUACUUUAAUUGUAUUCAAAGUUUAAUAAUUUGUUUCAAAGCUUUUUUUGGAGUCCUGUCGUCUUUCCUUGGGGAUUCAUCUCCACAAAUCUGGCAGAACCCCCAAAUGUAAAACUUUUUCAUUGAUUUCGUAUUAGAAACAUAUUCCUUAACUGUUCCCCAAAGAUUUUCCCUAUGGUUCAUAUCUGUGGACUGAGCAAGAGAAAACAUUGCAUAGAAGUCACUGUUUUAAAACACCUUAGAGCUCUCUAUCUGGUCUGUUUUGGGUCAUUUCCCUGAUGAAGACAUAACUCAACGGCAUUUUCUAUUACAUAUAAGGCAGCAUUAUUGUUUUAUUAUAUAAUAACAAAUAACAAAAAUUGAUUCAUCAUCGAUUCCAGCACGGGUACCUUACUUUCUUGUCUCGGUACCCGGUACUCGAAGAGUAAUACCCUAUUUACUAUUAUUACUAUUUACUAUAUUGUAGUUGUGGGGAAUAACGGUUGUAUGUAACGCACAGAAGGAAACGUUUCCGACCCCAUAAAGUAUAUAUAUUCUUGAUCAGCAUCAAUAGACGAGUCGAUAGAGCCAUGUCUGUCUGUCCGUCUGUCCGUCCGUCCGUCCGUCCGUCUGUCCGUCUUGUUUGUCGGCUAGUUCUCAGAGACUAUAAGAGCUAGAGCCACCAAAUUUUGGCUACAGACUGCUGUAUGCUCACACUGAAACCAGUGUAUUUAAAAAAUGAGCCACGCCCCCUUUCGCCUCCGCAAAAGGGCGAAAACCUCCAAAUCUACAGUUUUGAAGAUAAAAGAAAACGCCAUUCCGUAGAGAAUGGCCAUAUCUAUCAGAUCUCCAAAUUGGGAUCCGAGUGGAUCAUUAUUAUAGCCACAAUGAAGAAAUUAAUUUCCAGUGGCUAAACCCACACUGUCUCGCAGCUUUUGUUGUUCUUUUCACAUUCUCUCAUUCACACUCUGCUUCUGCUUCACUCGGCCCCUGCCUCUGCCCUCCCCCUGCCGAUUCCUCUUCCGACUUUUAACCCACCCCGUCCCGCAGCUUUUAUUUGUUUGUUUUUUUUUUGUGCGGACGGUGAUCUGCCUCGAGUCUGGAGUGUGUGGGUCUAGGGAAGGGCGGCGAGCUUACGGAGCGUGUUGGUGUGAGAAGUGUUGUAGAUGUAGAUGACAGAUGAAGAAAAAAUUAAAAAUUUGACAAAACACCACUAAGGUGCAGAUGUAGUACUGAGUGCCGGGUAUAAAAGUUAAGACGCGUAAAAAGCGUCUCAAACGUCCCUUUUCGUUAGAUAUAAAUAUGUGUCAAAAGGUUGUGGUUUUCAUUUGGUAGUCGUUUUACAUCAAAAGUAAAAUUUUGGCAAAAAAAAAAAAAUUUGUCUUCCUCCGGAUCACAGGAUCUAUAUCCAUAUAUAUUUUGGCCAACUCCAGUGUUUUUUCUACCUUGUAUUUAAUUUGCCCCAUGGUGACUUUGCUUAACUGGAUUUUUUCUCAGACUUCAAAAAUUUAUAUUCUUUUAAGCUAAAUCUAGCUUUGCUUAUCUUUGGAAAUUUUUUAAGAUCCUUUUUAAGCUCUGUGGCCGGCUUGCUCUCAGGAACCAGAAUUUUCAACCGAAAUGUGGAUAUUGCGCCAAUUCUUUCACUAGUUUAUGGUUGGAUACAUGUUUUAAAGCAAUACGAAUCAUUUUAGAUGUGGAACCUACUAUUUUCCUCACAUAGCUUUUGGAGUUAAAGGUUUGAUCCCUUGGGUUUUUUUCUUUCCUAAAGUGUAUCAAAGACCCAAAAACAACUAAUAUUUUUUAACUGUCUGUUUACAAUCGACUUAAUCUACCGAUUAAUAUAUCAAUUAAAAACAUUAUAUAUUAAAAAGCUCGGAAAAGUAUAAGUUUAUAUAAGAUACAAGUUUUGGUGCUAUUUUUGUUGCCGUUCAAUUUCGGUUCUUUUUAAAAAAGUUGCCUAAAUUAUUGAGAGCCGCCAAAGUUGUAAAUGUAAGGACACUUCUCUCAGAUAGGAGACAUGUCAACCUACUUUAUAUUACUUCAAAGUACAAAAAAUGUUGUAAUGAACCAAGUUCUAGGAGAUCUAGAACUACUUCUAAGAGAUUAAAGGAGCUACAGAAACCCAAUGUAGUGUGCAUAUACUAAGAACCCAAGUAAUGAAUGAUGUAUCAUAUGUAUUGAUGCCAAAAACACGUUACUAUCCGACUUUUAUAGAAGUAUUUAUAUGUACACAUAUAAAUCCUGUCAGGGAAACGGUAAUAUAACAGCCAGAUGGUUGAAAGAGACAGGAAGAAAGAGAGAUGUACAUACUUAAGUGAUUGGGCGAUAAGGAAUAAGCUAGAAAGUUAUUCAAUAGGCAAAAUGGACAGACAGAUUAGGGGAGUAUGAUUUAUAUUGUAAGAUGUACUGUGUUUUGUUGUUUAAGCCUCAAAUCUGAACAGUUGAGUUGACCUGGUCUGACCAGGUCUGACUAUUGCUAUUAUCCCGACAGGAGGGGACGGCUUUAUUGGUGCAAGUAGUUUUUAUCGUCAAACUCACAGCCGCGUUGUUGUCAGGGAAAUGCCUAUAGCGUAUCGUAAUAAGAAUGAUUAAGUUGGAACAUUUGAUUUGAGCUUAUUACCACAAGUAUCGAAUGAGAGCAAAUACAUAUACAUUACAGAUUUCACUAUUUUCACCGUACUUAGUAAUAAUCUGAUUCCCAACAUUUUUAAAUUGCAGACAUUGACAACGGCUUUCCGGCAACAUGAUACUGAUAUGGAUGGCGUCAUAACAAUACAUUAUGAGCAAUUUUUGAGUAUGGUUUUUUCUUUAAAAAUAUAAUAGUCUAUUUAAAAAGCCAUCAAAGUUUCUAAAUAUACAAUUUAAAGAACAUAAAAUGACUUGUGUAUAUUAAAUGGAUGAAAUUUAUUAUAAAUAAACAAUAAUAUCUAAUUUAACCUCCGCUAUAGUUUAUUUUUACACAAAAAUAUAUAAAUAUUAUAUAUAUAUGUUUGUUUAAGAUAUUACUUUGUACUUUGAUUGUAAUAAAAUGUGCAUAAAAAGAUGCAAU